CAGUAAUUCAGCAAGGGAGAGUGGAUGGCUCGUUCACUGACAGGUCUAGCAGUUGAUCCCAGCUGGUGGCUGGGGAACUGUUCAGCUGGAACGUACACAUGGGGCCUCUCCGUGUGACCUGGGCUUCCUCCCAACAUGGCGACUAGAGUCUAAGCAGGGCACCUGUGUGUGAUACAUGGUGGAGAUGACAAUGACAAAAACGUCAGGGAGCCUGGAUCCCUGAGUCACCACCUGGAGGAGAACCAUCCAAUCCAUAAUGUCUUUACUCCAAAUUCAUUGCCUCUAGACAUGUGUGAGACUGCAGUGUUCAG